rnacentral:rRNA from 1 species
UGAUCCUGGCUCAGAACGAACGCUGGCGGCAGGCUUAACACAUGCAAGUCGAACGGUCUCUUCGGAGGCAGUGGCAGACGGGUGAGUAACGCGUGGGAAUCUACCUAUCUCUACGGAACAACAGUUGGAAACGACUGCUAAUACCGUAUACGCCCCCCUUUGUGAUUAUUGGGUGGGGAAAGAUUUAUCGGAGAUAGAUGAGCCCGCGUUAGAUUAGCUAGUUGGUGAGGUAAUGGCUCACCAAGGCGACGAUCUAUAGCUGGUCUGAGAGGAUGAUCAGCCACACUGGGACUGAGACACGGCCCAGACUCCUACGGGAGGCAGCAGUGGGGGAUAUUGGACAAUGGGCGCAAGCCUGAUCCAGCCAUGCCGCGUGUGUGAUGAAGGCCCUAGGGUUGUAAAGCACUUUCAACGGUGAAGAUAAUGACGGUAACCGUAGAAGAAGCCCCGGCUAACUUCGUGCCAGCAGCCGCGGUAAUACGAAGGGGGCUAGCGUUGUUCGGAAUUACUGGGCGUAAAGCGUACAUAGGCGGACUAUUAAGUUAGGGGUGAAAUCCCAGGGCUCAACCCUGGAACUGCCUCUAAUACUGGUAGUCUUGAGUUCGAGAGAGGUGAGUGGAAUUCCGAGUGUAGAGGUGAAAUUCGUAGAUAUUCGGAGGAACACCAGUGGCGAAGGCGGCUCACUGGCUCGAUACUGACGCUGAGGUACGAAAGUGUGGGGAGCAAACAGGAUUAGAUACCCUGGUAGU